UACGUAGGGACCGAGCGUUGUCCGGAAUCAUUGGGCGUAAAGCGCGUGUAGGCGGCCCGGUAAGUCCGCUGUGAAAGUCGGGGGCUCAACCCUCGAAAGCCGGUGGAUACUGUUGGGCUCGAGUGCGGAAGAGGCGAGUGGAAUUCCUGGUGUAGCGGUGAAAUGCGCAGAUAUCAGGAGGAACACCGAUUGCGAAGGCAGCUCGCUGGGACGUUACUGACGCUGAGACGCGAAAGCGUGGGGAGCAAACAGG
rnacentral:rRNA from 1 species